AGCUGACGUCUAAGUUCUCUUGACUGGGGUUUGAUGGCCCAGAGUGGGUGUCAGGCCUUUAAGACGUUGGCUUUGCAUGCAUUGGGCACUCGAAGAGUCGGGUUGUUUGUGAGUACAACCCAAAGCAGGUGGUAAACUCCAUCUAAGGCUAAAUAUGAGUACGAGUCCGAUAGCGAACAAGUACCGUGAGGGAAAGUUGCAAAGCACUUUGAAGAGAGAGUUCAAGAGUACGUGAAACCUGCCGGAGUGAAGCGGGUGAAGCCACAUGGUUGUCAGCUGGAAUCAGUCGUAUGUGAUCGAGACGCUUGGCCGCUUGUUGCAUCGACCUUCGUGGUAGAUGGGCAGGUCGGUCAAGUGCUGUGUAUCCUCUCGGUUCUGCGAUUUACUUCUGGCUGGCAAUGAGUCACGAAAGGUUACCUGGCAACUAGAAGCGAGUCGAGACGGGACCACUGGCAUGACUUCGAGUUAUGCUUUCAGUGCGACAGUUCGGCUUGUUAUAGUCUUGUUGGGUGACUUUGGACAGCUUGCACUAAGCUGCGGUUGUGUCUGCCGUAUUUACUGGGGCACGCUGGUUGCUCGGAUCCGUUUGUCUUGUUUGGGACUGGUCUGCAGUGCUGAGCAAGGCAGGUGGAUUGUGUGCAUGAGUGAUCGCGCUAUGCGCCAGAGAGGAGAAGUGCAUAACUGUUCGGUGGCCAGUUGGUAACUCACCCGUCCCGUCUUGAAACACGGACCAAGGAGUUCAGCAUACAGGCGAGUCUGAGGGUGAAGCAAAACCCGAUGGCGCAGUGAAAGCAAAGGUUGCCGUUUGGCAGCACGUGAUGUGAUCCAGCUGCAGCGAAGGCUGUACUGGCGCAACAUCAUCUCGUCGCAUCCUUGUGCGGGAGCGGCGAAGAUAGAGCCUGUACGCUGUGACCCGAAAGAUGGUGAACUAUGCCAGAGGAGGGCGAAGCCAGAGGAAACUCUGGUGGAGGCCCGAAGCGAUUCUAACGUGCAAAUUGAUCGUCAGACUUUGGUAUAGGGGCGAAAGACUAAUCGAACCAUCUAGUAGCUGGUUCCCUCCGAAGUUUCUCUCAGGAUAGCUGGCACUCGGAGAUGUGAUUUUCACCCGGUAAAGCGAAUGAUUAGAGUGAUUUGGUUCGAAAAGAUCUAAACCUAUUCUCAAAC
rnacentral:rRNA from 1 species